AACGAACGCUGGCGGCAGGCCUAACACAUGCAAGUCGAGCGAACCCUUCGGGGUUAGCGGCGGACGGGUUAGUAACGCGUGGGAAUAUACCCUUUGGUACGGAAUAGCCUCGGGAAACUGAGAGUAAUACCGUAUGUGCCCUUCGGGGAAAGAUUUAUCGCCAAAGGAUUAGCCCGCGUUGGAUUAGAUAGUUGGUGGGGUAAUGGCCUACCAAGUCUACGAUCCAUAGCUGGUUUGAGAGGAUGAUCAGCAACACUGGGACUGAGACACGGCCCAGACUCCUACGGGAGGCAGCAGUGGGGAAUCUUAGACAAUGGGCGCAAGCCUGAUCUAGCCAUGCCGCGUGGACGACGAAGGCCUUAGGGUUGUAAAGUCCUUUCAGAUGGGAAGAUAAUGACGGUACCAUCAGAAGAAGCCCCGGCUAACUCCGUG
rnacentral:rRNA from 1 species